AUUGAACGCUGGCGGCAGGCCUAACACAUGCAAGUCGAGCGAGCGGCGGACGGGUGAGUAAUGUAUGGGGACUGCCCGAUAGAGGGGGAUAACUACUGGAAACGGUAGCUAAUACCGCAUACUAUCGGAUAACCCAUAUGGGAGUAGCUAGUUGGUGAGGUAAUGGCUCACCAAGGCGACGAUCCCUAGCUGGUCUGAGAGGAUGAUCAGCCACACUGGAACUGAGACACGGCCCAAACUCCUAAGGAGGCAGCAGGGGGGAUUAUUGCGCAAUGGGCCCAAGCCUGAUGCAGCCAUGCCGCGUGUAUGAAGCAGGCCUUCGGGUUGUAAAGUGCUUUCAGCAGGGAGGCGUUACUCGCAGAAGGAGCACCGGCUAACUCCGUGCCAGCGGCCGCGGUAAUAC
rnacentral:rRNA from 1 species